rnacentral:rRNA from 1 species
CCUACGGGGGGCAGCAGUGGGGAAUAUUGCACAAUGGGGGAAACCCUGAUGCAGCGACGCCGCGUGAGUGAAGAAGUAAUUCGUUAUGUAAAGCUCUAUCAGCAGGGAAGAAAAUGCCGGUACCUGAGUAAGAAUCCCCGGCUAACUACGUGCCAGCAGCCGCGGUAAUACGUAGGGGGCAAGCGUUAUCCGGAUUUAUUGGGUGUAAAGGGAGCGUAGACGGCAGUGCAAGUCUGGAGUGAAAGGCGGGGGCUCAACCUCCGAACUGCCCUGGAAACUGUACGGCUGGAGUGCAGGAGAGGUAGGUGGAAUGCAUGGUGUAGCGGUGAAAUGCGUAGAGAUUA